GCCUGCCCGGCCAGCGCAGCGGGGCCGGCCUCAGCCAUCCCACAGCUCGGGCCGCCGCUUCACCGCCCUGGCAGGUCCUGCUCUCCUGUGUAUUCCUGCCCUGUUCGGCUUUCUUCUGAAGUUUCAGGAAUUGUUUUUAAAAAGCCUGUCAUGAAAUGCCAGAACAGUAACCUCUGUCUUUCCUGAGAUGUCUUAGUGCACCUAAUCCAGACAUGGGGAAGGAGUGAAAAGCAUUCUGCUGACUGACUACCAUACCCUCCCUCCUUCAUUGCAACUCAGAAAACAUUCUGUGACCACCAAGCAAAUACAAACGACUAAAACAACCUUAUCCUGUUUUUGUAUAUGCCAAAUGUGAUUAUGAUAGAAUUUCUUUGCCAUUACUAUCUACA